rnacentral:rRNA from 1 species
UACGUAGGUGGCAAGCGUUGUUCGGAAUUACUGGGCGUAAAGGGCUCGUAGGUGGCCAACUAAGUCGGACGUGAAAUCCCUCAGCUUAACUGGGGAACUGCGUCCGAUACUGGAUGGCUUGAGUUUGGGAGGGGGAUGCGGAAUUCCAGGUGUAGCGGUGAAAUGCGUAGAUAUCUGGAGGAACACCGGUGGCGAAGGCGGCAUCCUGGACCAACACUGACACUGAGGAGCGAAAGCCAGGGGAGCAAACGGG